AUGAACGCUAGCUACAGGCUUAACACAUGCAAGUCGAGGGGCAGCAUGGGUAGCAAUACUUCAGAUGGCGACCGGCGCACGGGUGAGUAACACGUAUCCAACCUGCCGCUUACUCGGGGAUAGCCUUUCGAAAGAAAGAUUAAUACCCGAUGGUAUAAAGAGUUCGCAUGUUCUCUUUAUUAAAGAAUUUCGGUAAGCGAUGGGGAUGCGUUCCAUUAGAUAGUUGGCGGGGUAACGGCCCACCAAGUCUACGAUGGAUAGGGGUUCUGAGAGGAAGGUCCCCCACAUUGGAACUGAGACACGGUCCAAACUCCUACGGGAGGCAGCAGUGAGGAAUAUUGGUCAAUGGACGAGAGUCUGAACCAGCCAAGUAGCGUGAAGGAUGACUGCCCUAUGGGUUGUAAACUUCUUUUAUAAGGGAAUAAAGUGAGGGACGUGUCCCUUUUUGUAUGUACCUUAUGAAUAAGGAUCGGCUAACUCCGUGCCAGCAGCAGC
rnacentral:rRNA from 1 species